CAGCCGCCGCGGUAAUACGAAGGGGGCUAGCGUUGCUCGGAAUUACUGGGCGUAAAGGGAGCGUAGGCGGACAUUUAAGUCAGGGGUGAAAUCCCGGGGCUCAACCUCGGAAUUGCCUUUGAUACUGGGUGUCUUGAGUAUGAGAGAGGUAUGUGGAACUCCGAGUGUGGAGGUGAAAUUCGUAGAUAUUCGGAAGGACACCAGUGGCGAAGGCGACAUACUGGCUCAUUACUGACGCUGAGGCUCGAAAGCGUGGGGAGCAAACAGGAUUAGAUACCCCGGUAGUCUCUGUCUCUUAUAC
rnacentral:rRNA from 1 species